AAGACUUUUGUUGUCAAGGAUAAUAAGAAUGGGCCUUCAAAGAAAGGAGGCCCUUCACCUGUGCACACAAAGCUCUCUUAGCCAGUGGAUGCUAAUCACCAAAACAUGGCAAAAAGACAAAGUUUAUGAAGGGGAAGGCUCCUAUGACGGAAAUAUCCUCUGUUGAGGUUGAAAAGGGGUCAAAGGUUGAUAGGGAGAAGGAACUCCGUACGAUUCAAUACCUUCAACAAAUUGGUGAAACCUUUGUUUUUGGGGGAAUCAAUCGUAUAUAUAAUAUGGUUGGAAAGGUGUUUGGUCCAGAUGCAGAAACGAUUACUAGAUGUGUAUGAAGUAGGUUCAGGACUGAUUGGUGCUAGUGAGGAUUUACAACCAGUGUGUGUGUGCUUUUUGACACUUAGAGCACUAUCUGGAUGAUAUGCUCUAGCGAUCUAACUUCCGUCAGGCUUGAAUAUAUAUCACACUCUUUUUUGGUAAUUUUGCUUACUUAAAUUAUUCAUUACAAUUUAAGAAGUUAUAUUGUUUUAGACAGAUAAAUUUUUAUUUUAUAAAGCUAUGCUUGCAAAGAUUUUACACAAUGGCUUGAAAUCAUUAUGAUUGUGUUGUAACCACAAAUCCUCUAACAUAAUUGAUAUGCAAAUAUUUGCUUUUCUUUUAGCAA